rnacentral:ncRNA from 2 species
AGUGCUUUUAUGGAAACAUAGGGCACCAUAUUGGUGCAAUUUUCGUUAUUUGCCCCUUUUAACGCUCCGUGAAAGCGAUCACAAAGCAACUCUGCAAUACUUGUUUGC